GGGCGGUUAGCUCAGUUGGUUAGAGCGCUUCCUUUACACGGAAGAGGCCGUAGGUUCGAGUCCUAUACCGCCCA
rnacentral:tRNA from 1 species